UUACCAGCACGUUAUGGUGGGCACUCUAAGGAGACUGCCGGUGACAACCGGAGGAAGGUGGGGAUGACGUCAAGUCAUCAUGGCCCUUACGGCCUGGGCUACACACGUGCUACAAUGGUCGGUACGAAGGGUUGCCAAGCCGCGAGGUGGAGCUAAUCCCAUAAAACCGAUCGUAGUCCGGAUCGCAGUCUGCAACUCGACUGCGUGAAGUCGGAAUCGCUAGUAAUCGUGAAUCAGAAUGUCACGGUGAAUACGUUCCCGGGCCUU
rnacentral:rRNA from 1 species